rnacentral:rRNA from 1 species
AUGGGAUUCGGCCAACUGCUUCUUGUAGCGAGGUUCUCAUGGGUAUUUAUGAAAGAUGGUUUUCAUGGGUUGCCUAUCUUCUUUUUUAGGCUAAAAUCUCAUGGUGUCAAGUUUCCAAGAGGAAUACGGCAACUGAAGGCCCUCCACACGUUGGGUGUUGUGAAUAUUGAUGGGGCGGACACCAUUCUUGAAGACCUGCAGUAUCUUACCGAGUUGCGUAAAUUAAGGGUGACUGGUCUCAACAAGAGAAAUUAUGUGAAAUUCUUCUCAGCUAUUACCGAUAUGGAAUGUUUGGAAUCCUUGCUUGUACGGUCAGAGGGGAAUCCAGGUUUAGCCGGCUGCUUUGCCGAAGUGUCUCUAGCUCCCAAAAAUCUUCGGAGCCUCAAGCUAUAUGGCAACCUGAUUGAACUGCCAACAUGGAUCGAGGGACUUCAAAACCUUGGAAAGUUGGAGCUACGGAGCACCAUGAUAUGGGAACACGAUGAGGCCAUACAAUUCCUUGGGGAGCUACCGAACCUGACCAACUUACACCUAUUGCAGGAUUCAUUCAGCAGUAUUUUUGUCUCCUUCAAUUUUUCCCCUGGUGCAUUCCCGAGUCUGCAGGUGUUGGAACUGAGUUUGUGGUCUCAAGGACAAUGGAAGCGUGGCAUAGGAAAGCUACGAGAGGUGAAGUUCGAAGAUGGAGCAGCCCCUAAGCUUGAGGUGCUGCUGUUUUCUGCCCCACCUUACGAGAGAAACAUUGGGUUGUUUACUGGGCUAAAAUAUCUCACAAACCUCAAGGAAUUCAUGCUGCACAACAAACGCUAUGAGGACGACGCCUUCGUGGAGGGCUUGCGGAAAACACAAGUGGACCCAGUUUGA